AAAAUUCAUAAGUGUUUGACACUUAAACUUUUGAAGUUUAAAUUAUAG
rnacentral:tRNA from 1 species